CUGUGCACCAUUGCUGGGUGUGUUUUGGACAUUUUGGACAUCCCGGCGUCCGGCGGGUCUCGUGGGACUGGAACCCGGGUAGGUAUUUUGGACAAAAUUGGGACUUUACGUGAUUAUUCAGAAUGGAAAUGUGCUAACACUCGUGAUUUCGCCCUGUCUCUGUUUUGUCUGCGUUGAGGUACUCGAUGUCCGUCCUUGGCUGUCAGCAGUGGAAGAUUACAAGUUGUGUGCCUUUGCACAGACGCUUGGUUCCACCCCCUUUCCUUGGCAAGGAUUAUGAGUUAUUCUUCACCUGAAUGGGAAUAUAUGAACAUCCUAGCAGUCGGCAUCCUAAUGACAGCAGACCUUGUACAAAUGUCCUGCAGGCCAAUACAAAUGGACGGUUGUGGACGGUUGCAAAAUGGCUCCCGGGCCGCACUUUGGACCCCGGCACAGAUGUUGUGGGAGCAGAUCCAGGUUUCAUGUUCCAAAGUCAGCAGAGACACGAGUGAACGCUCGCAGCCUCCUCAUCAAGCACGGACUUGAUGAGGAGCGCCCUGGAGGAGCCACUGAGGACCAGAUGAGGCCAGACGGACAUGACGGGUCUGGAGGAGGGGGAGGGGCUGAUUGAUGGCUCCAGCUGUCCCGCAGGACCAAGCAACACGAGCGGACAGCUGGUCACCUGUAGCCCAGACAUGGGAUUGUCUGCCUUAACGACAGCACUUAUGCAACCAAUCACAGCCCUUUCCUGCCGCGUCAAGUGACAUUUGUUGCCUGGGACUCCUCCCCCUCCCCGUCCUGCCGCCAGCUGGCCAAUCAGGACGCACCGAGUUUACGUCGAGACCAAAGUCACUGUGAUGACACGCAAGAGUGCACACAAAUGUUGAUUUGCAUCCAAAUCAUGAUUCUUAUUCAUCUCCAUUCUGAAUACAUUCAUCAUUUUCA